rnacentral:rRNA from 1 species
AUUGAACGCUGGCGGCAGGCCUAACACAUGCAAGUCGAACGAGUGGCGGACGGGUGACUAAUGUCUGGGAAACUGCCUGAUGGAGGGGGAUAACUACUGUAAACGGUAGCUAAUACCGCAUACCAUCGGAUGUGCACAGAUGGGAUUAGCUAGUAGCUGUGGUAAAGUCUCACCUACGCGACGAGCCCUAGCUGGUCUGAGAGGAUGACGAGCCAGACUGGAACUGAGACACGGUCCAGACUCCUACGGGAGGCAGCAGUGGGGAAUAUUGCGCAAUGGGCGCAAGCCUGAUGCAGCCAUGCCGCGUGUAUGAAGAAGGCCUGCGGGUUGUAAAGUACUUUCAGCGGGGAGGCGUUACCCAAAGAAGAAGCACCGGCUAACUCCGUGCCAGCAGCCGCGGUAAUUC